GGCGUGGUGGCUUAGUUGAUAGCACGUUUACCUCCCAACUCAGGGUUGGGGGUUCGAAUCCCGCCUCCGCUC